UGUGGGACCAAACAACGGGAGGUGGAAAUUUACAGAUUUCAGCUCAAUAUUAGAGUUUUUAUUUUAUUUUUUUAAAUAUGUGGUUAACCAGCUCAGAAUAGGCUACGAGGGAGCGCUUCUGAACACCAGGGUCUCUACAACUACUUGGCAGGACUGUGAGGGAGACAACUCAAGCUUUGUACUCUCCAGCUUCCAAAAUUCCCUCCAACUCUGGGAUUAUCUAAUUCUUUCGUUAAUGAAUCUCCUUCAAGAUGUCUACCCACUUCACCAGGAAAUGAACUCACUGGUACUGAGGCCAGAUCAGUGCAAAUGUGGCUGAGGGACCUGGGGUUUACUUUUAUUGUUCUGAGUCUGGUUUUCUUUGGUUUUAGCAGAUAAUAAAGCCAAAGUCCAGAGAAGUUUGGGAGCUUCGGCAAUGAGGGGCAAGAUCAUAACCAGAACAUAGUGUUCUCGAGUCUUUGUCCAUCUUCAUUCCUUUGCAUGGUCCACUUAAGAGCACUGGGCAUGCUGGUCUUGGCUGUUCGUAGAUGUCAACGGCCACUCUCACCUCAUCUCCAGGCUGCCCUCAAGGCCCAACAUUCUUUGUUAAAAGAUCUGUUCCAUCACAAGAGUCUCACUAUGGCUCAAAUUUUACCAGCACAGAAGAUCACUGGGUCAAACUUCCCAUUUCGGUAGAUGAACCAAAGCGCCUUGAAUGAAGACGUAAUUCAAUAAAACUUAAUACUCUCAUAAAAUCGAAUAUUCUCUGA